rnacentral:rRNA from 1 species
UUGCUAGCUUGCUAAUAAUUCUCUAGUGGCGCACGGGUGAGUAACACGUGAGUAACCUGCCCCCAAGAGUGGGAUAGCCCCGGGAAACUGGGAUUAAUACCGCAUAAAAUCGCAAGAUUAAAGCAGCAAUGCGCUUGGGGAUGGGCUCGCGUCCUAUUAGUUAGUUGGUGAGGUAACGGCUCACCAAGGCGAUGACGGGUAGCCGGUCUGAGAGGAUGUCCGGCCACACUGGAACUGAGACACGGUCCGGACACCUACGGGUGGCAGCAGUCGAGAAUCAUUCACAAUGGGGGAAACCCUGAUGGUGCGACGCCGCGUGGGGGAAUGAAGGUCUUCGGAUUGUAAACCCCUGUCAUGUGGGAGCAAAUUAAAAAGAUAGUACCACAAGAGGAAGAGACGGCUAACUCUGUGCCAGCAGCCGCGGUAAUACAGAGGUCUCAAGCGUUGUUCGGAAUCACUGGGCGUAAAGCGUGCGUAGGCGGUUUCGUAAGUCGUGUGUGAAAGGCGGGGGCUCAACCCCCGGACUGCACAUGAUACUGCGAGACUAGAGUAAUGGAGGGGGAACCGGAAUUCUCGGUGUAGCAGUGAAAUGCGUAGAUAUCGAGAGGAACACUCGUGGCGAAGGCGGGUUCCUGGACAUUAACUGACGCUGAGGCACGAAGGCCAGGGGAGCGAAAGGGAUUAGAUACCCCUGUAGUCCUGGCAGUAAA